UGCCAAACCUUGACCUCUAAGCAGCACACACAACUCUGAGCAUGAGACAAUCAGGAGAGAGAGAAGGAAGGGGGAAAGUAUUGACAGAAGUAAAUUGAGAGAAAUCAUAAAGCUUAAGCAGAAAGAAAGCAGUUUGAAAGGUACUUCCAGCUGCUGCCCAGCUCUGCACUGACCUCGACAGGGAGAGGAGUUCGCCUAGAUGCUCCCACCUUUUAUUACCCAUUACUCAUCCCCCCGGCUGGCAAGAGAAGUACGGUGAAGUCAGAAUUCUGGCAGAUGCCCAUUUAAAGCUCAUUAAAA